GUCCCCAUCGUCUAGCGGUUAGGACACCAGCUUUUCAAGCUGGCGGCCGGGGUUCGAUUCCCCGUGGGGAUGCCA
rnacentral:tRNA from 1 species